CCUACGGGUGGCAGCAGUGGGGAAUAUUGGACAAUGGGGGGAACCCUGAUCCAGCGACGCCGCGUGAGUGAAGAAGGAUUUCGGUAUGUAAAGCCCUAUCAGCAGGGAAGAAAAGGACGGUACUUGACUAAGAAGCCCCGGCUAACUACGUGCCAGCAGCCCCGGUAAUACGUAGGGUGCAAGCGUUAUCCGGAUUUACUGGGCGUAAAGGGAGCGUAGACGGUGCAGCAAGUCAGAUGUGAAAGGUCCGGGCCCAACCCCGGGACUGCAUUUGAAACUGUUUAACGGGAGUACAGGAGAGGUAAGCAGAAUUCCUGGUGUAGCGGUGAAAUGCGUAGAGAUGAGGAGGAACACCAGUGGCGAAGGCGGCUUACUGGACAAAAACUGACGUUGAGGCGCGAAAGCGUGGGGAGCAAACAGGAUUAGAUACCCGAGUAGUC
rnacentral:rRNA from 1 species